GGGGCUUUAGCUCAGUGGUAGAGCACGUACUUUGCAUGCGUGAGGUCACCGGAUCGAUCCCCGUAAGCUCCA
rnacentral:tRNA from 1 species